rnacentral:tRNA from 1 species
CCGGCGUAGCGUAAUGGUAGCGCUAGACUCUCUAAAAGUCUAGGACUGGGAUCGUAACCCAGCGCCGGUGCCA